GGGGGGGGGGGGGGGGGGGGGGGGGGGGGUUGUGUUUGGAAGUCCAUAAAGUGCAUAAACAAAUGAUCAUCAGACUGUCAAACCUAUCACAUAACCACCAAAAAAUCCCUGAAAGGAAGUUUGGAGUAACACGAGGGCAUAGAUAGAGGCGAUACAUGUCAAUGACUAUUCUUCAUAGUAUUCUUCUACACACACAUUUAUAAUUUCCUUGCCUCAAAUGAACAAAUAAAGUCUGUGCAGGAAAAACUGAAGUCUUAAAAUUAUAAGCAUCAGCAAUGACUGAGGUCAUAUCUUACACAAAAUAAAUCGAAACUUAACCAAACAACUACAUGUCAAAAGGUAGCACACCUCCACAGAUGAUCAAAACCAACAUAUUUUUUCUCCAACUCCAAUUAAAAUGAACAGAUAAUUCCCAUCAUCUAAACUCAGAACACGGCAUACCACAUAGCCAAGCAUAUAAUU